UACGUAGGGGGCGAGCGUUGUCCGAAGUUACUGGGCGUAAAGCGCGCGUAGGCGGGUCGUUAAGUGGGAAGUGAAAGGCUGGGGCUCAACCCCAUGCAGUGCUUCUCAUACUGGCGGGCUUGAGUGAGGUAGGGAGAAGUGGGAUGGCUGGUGUAGCGGUGAAAUGCGUAGAUAUCAUUUGGAACGCCAAUGGUGAAAACAGGUAGCUGGGGCUGUGCUGACGCUGAGACACGAAAGCCAGGGGAGCGAACGGG
rnacentral:rRNA from 1 species